GGGCCUGUAUUGGAUUCGAUUGCAAGCGGAAUUCGCAGGAUGCACGCCGGAGGCUCGGCUCCGUAAAAACGGGAAUUUUUUAAAUGCUGAUAACAAAAGCAGAAGAUCUGUCGCUGCACGUGCAACUCGCCGCGUAGCGCUUGCGGCCUAACUUUUUAGGCUCCGUCUCCUUUCGUCUGCCCACGGGCGAAAACGAGGCGUCAAUUUAGUGGGGAACUCUUUGCGGCGGCUGACUUCCCCUGCCGCAGAGCGAUUCUCGGAAGCAUGCGUACGGAAAGGUCGUCGGUGAACUUUCCUUGCGCGAGACCGAUCGCCGACUAAGCGUGUAGGAUCCGCGGAGGAACCUUGUAAGACCGCAGUUCGAUUCUGCGCAGGUCCACCA
rnacentral:tmRNA from 1 species